rnacentral:rRNA from 1 species
UACGUAGGGUGCGAGCGUUGUCCGGAAUUAUUGGGCGUAAAGGGCUCGUAGGCGGUCUGUUGCGUCAGGAGUGAAAACUCAGGGCUUAACCCCGAGCCUGCUUCUGAUACGGGCAGACUAGAGGUAUGCAGGGGAGAACGGAAUUCCUGGUGUAGCGGUGAAAUGCGCAGAUAUCAGGAGGAACACCGGUGGCGAAGGCGGUUCUCUGGGCAUUACCUGACGCUGAGGAGCGAAAGUGUGGGGAGCGAACAGG